UAGAGCAUGAGACUCUUAAUCUCAGGGUCGUG
rnacentral:piRNA from 5 species